UGAAUACGAGACGCUAAGGCGUCGAAGUAGUGUAUGUCAUACUUCCAAGAAAAGCUUGCACUGUCAUAAGUAAAAAAUGCCUGUACCAUAACCGACACAGGUGGGUAGGUAGAGUAUACUAAGGGGCGCGAGAUAACUCUCUCUAAGGAACUCGGCAAAAUAACUCCGUAACUUCGGGAGAAGGAGUACCUUAUUCUAUAAGGUUGCAAUAACAAGAUCCAAGCAACUGUUUAUCAAAAACACAGGUCUCCGCUAAGUCGUAAGACGAUGUAUGGGGGCUGACGCCUGCCCAGUGCCAGAAGGUUAAAGAAGUCGGUUAGCAUUAGCGAAGCUGGUAACUGAAGCCCUGGUGAACGGCGGCCGUAACUAUAACGGUCCUAAGGUAGCGAAAUUCCUUGUCGGGUAAGUUCCGACCCGCACGAAAGGCGUAAUGAUUUGGAUACUGUCUCGGAGAGGGGCUCGGUGAAAUAGACUUGUCUGUGAAGAUGCGGACUACCUGCACCAGGACAGAAAGACCCUAUGAAGCUUUACUGUAACUUGAAAUUGAAAUUGGACUUUAUUCGCGCAGUAUAGGUGGGAGGUGUUGAUUAUAAUCUUGCGGGAUUAUUGGAGCCAUCAGUGAGAUACCACUCUUGUAAUGUUAGAUUUCUAACUUUGAAUCAUUAUCUGGUCAAAGGACAGUUUCAGGCGGGCAGUUUGACUGGGGCGGUCGCCUCCCAAACGGUAACGGAGGCGUACAAAGGUUUCCUCUGAACGGGUAGAAAUCGUAUCUAGAGUGUAAAGGCAUAAGGAAGCUUGACUGUGAGACCUACAAGUCGAACAGGGACGAAAGUCGGUCUUAGUGAUCUGACGGUACUGAGUGGAAAGGCCGUCACUCAACGGAUAAAAGUUACUCUAGGAUAACAGGCUGAUCUCCCCCAAGAGUUCACAUCGACGGGGAGGUUUGGCACCUCGAUGUCGGCUCAUCGCAUCCUGGGGCGGUAGUACGUCCCAAGGGUUGGGCUGUUCGCCCAUGAAAGCGGUACGCGAGCUGGGUUCAGAACGUCGUGAGACAGUUCGGUCCAUAUCCGGUGUAGGCGUUAGAAUAUUGAGAGGAGCCUUCUUUAGUACGAGAGGACCGAGAAGGACAUACCUCUGGUGUACCAGUUAUCGUGCCAACGGUAAACGCUGGGUAGCUAUGUAUGGAGUGGAUAACCGCUGAAAGCAUCUAAGUGGGAAGCCCACCUCAAGAUGAGUGCUCUCACAGGGUUAACCUGGUAAGGUCACGGGAAGACCACCCGUUAAUAGGCACUAGGUGGAAGUCCAGUAAUGGAUGGAGCC
rnacentral:rRNA from 1 species